rnacentral:misc_RNA from 1 species
UUUCCGUAGGUGAACCUGCGGAAGGAUCAUUAACGAGUUAGGGUCUUCCAGGCCCGACCUCCCAACCCUAUGUUUAUUGAACCUCUGUUGCUUCGGCGGGCCCGUCUCACGGCCGCCGGGGGAGUCGCCGCGAGGCACCCUCUGGCCAGCGUCCGCCGAUGGCCAACCUCAAAACUCUGAAUGAAUCGUGUCAUGAUGUCUAAGUCUAUGAUUAAAUUAAAGCAAAACUUUUAACAACGGAUCUCUUGGUUCUG